rnacentral:lncRNA from 1 species
CGACUACGGGAACGAAGGAAGGAGAGGAGAUUUGAUCUCACUCGCCCGCUUAAGGAUUCCACCUCGCCUCCGAGGCAUCCCGGAAGGCCUUGACGGCUCCGUUGCCGAGAGAACCCGAGGCUACCCUUGUUUCCCCGAGAGUCUCUGAAGUCUGCCGAUUCACCUCUUCCUGAGCCAAUGCAACUAGGCAGAGCUAGGCUGUCUCCAGCCGAACGGCUAUACAGGCAUCACACUAAGAGUUGCCUGUAUUGCGGGACUACUGGUCAUUUUGUCUCCACCUGUCCACUAAAAGACUAGGCUCACUGGUAGGAGUGAGUACUCUGGGGGGCCAUACAGAGAACUUUUCCUCUCUCCUUACUCGCACCCCUUUUCAUGUUAUUUUGCUUUGGGGGAAACAGUCGAAAUCUCUCCAGGUACUCAUCGACGCUACCCUGGCAUCCGAACUGGGCAUCCCCAUUAAGCCCCUCUCCAUUCCCAUGGAUGUUAGAGUACUGGACGGGCGCGCUAUAGGCUGUGUCACCCACAAUACCACCCCCUUCAACCUACGUGGGUCAGGGAACCACAGCGAGACCAUCCAAUUCCUAAGUCUUCUCAGGUUCCCAUGGUAUUGGGAUUCUCUUGGCUCCAGCGACACAAUCCCCUUAUUGACUGGUCUGCUGUGCCAUCAUGGGCUGGAACCCGUUCUGCCACGCUCAUUGCCUGAAGUCAGUGCAGCCUGCCCCAGGACGUCUUCCUGGGGGCUCGGCAGUCGCCCCGGACCUCUCCACUAUUUCCGCGGAGUACCAGGACCUCCAGGAGGUGUUCAGUGAGACCCGGGCCCCUUCGCUUCCGCCGCACCGACCCUAUGACUGCGGGAUUGACCUUCUCCCAGGCACCACUCCGCCCCGGGGACGACUGUACUCUCUGUCGGGUCCAGAGACCAAGGCUAUGGUGGCCUACAUUGAGGACUCCCUAGCUGCAGGGUUCUUCCGUCCUUCUGCCUCCCCCGCUGGCACAGGGUUCUUCUUUAAGGAGAAGAAGGACAAAACCCUGCGCCUGUGCAUCGACUACCGGGGCCUCAACAACAUCACUGUGAAGAACGCUAUCCGCUACCACUCAUCUCCUGGUCCUUUGAGCCACUCCAGGGGGCCACCGUGUUCUCCAAGCUGGACCUAUGGAACGCCUACCACCUGGUGCGGAUAUGGGAAGGGGACGAGUGGAAGACUGCCUUCAACAUGGCCAGCGGUCACUACGAGUAUCUGGUCAUGACAUUUGGCCUUACCAAAACCUCAGCUGUGUUCCAGGCUCUGGUUAAUGAUGUUCUCCGCCAAAUGUUGAACCGGUUCGUCUUAGUCUACCUCGACGACAUCUGCGUCUUCUCCCACUCCGCCCAAGAACACGUGCGCCAUGUCUGACAGGUUCUCCAAGUUUGUGGGACUCCACCUGGAGGGGCAUAUCCUGGGUGGACAGCCAUACCCGGGGUGCCGGGCUCCGGUGGCGGUUCGCUUGUUGUCAAUACCUGGAGGUGGUCUUGAGAAGAGCCAACCGGGCUCUCUUCCAGGAACGAUGACAGCGGCGGACAAACAUCUGGCCGAAUGUAUGCCGACCUCUUCCUCAGGGAAGAGCAAGGGCCGAUAACCCAGGGAACACUCAAAGGGCGAGAGACCCUUGGCAGAGCAAGGAAGGUUGCUAUCUAUUGUGCUUGAGGCCAUUUCACAGCCGCCAUUCAGGCCACUGGAAAGCAUGGAAAUUAGAUGUCUCUAAUAAAUGACCACUUUACAUAUAGCCAGUAAGACUAGCUGUCACCAUUGGCGUCGGCUAAUGGGGAUCCUAAUAAAUAAAAGUAUUUCCGUAAUCUCUUGGGCCAACGCCCUGCCCAGGAAGGCCCAUUUCCUGCCAGCGUCUAUCCCACUGGAUAGUGGGCUAUUAUACUGGCGUAUAAAAGCAAAGUUUAUCACCCUCGGAGGGCUUGAGAGCUCACUCCACUAGAGGUAUGGCGGCGUCAUGGGCAAUGUUCAAGGGCAUCUCUGUUCAAGAGAUUUGUAAUGUGGAACGUUGGCCUACCCCCCCAUACCUUCAUGAGGUUCUACCGACUGGUUGUCACUGCACCCUCAUUGGUGCAUACAGAUCUCAAUGUCAGGGCCCCUGAGGGGUGAUUCCGUCUAGACUACCUAGCUUUGGAGAGUAUACGAGUGCUACAGGAGUUGGCUAUAUCCCCAUAGUGAGAGACCAAAACAAAUAUUUGAAAGAGAACUUAAGGUUACUAACGUAACCUCGGUUCUCUGAUAAUAUGAAUGAGGUCCCUCACCGCGUUUCACUUCAUAUUGUGCGUAAGGAAGAAGACAUACUUGAUAAUGAAGUUGGAAGACGGGACCGUGGCGCCUGAUAAGGAGUGGGUUCCCCACUAUUCACAUAUCCCGUAGUGAGUGACCUCACUCAUAUUAUCAGAGAACCGGGGUUACACAAGUACUGUAACCUUAGGUUAUUAUACUCAAAUGUGGAUAAAUGCACGGCUUCUUUUGACCAAUAUCCUGGGCCCAGUUUAAAAAAAAAUCUUAAUCUGGAUCAGAAUGAUUUUUUUGCUGUCCAGAAUCAGAUCGGUCUUUUUUUUAGCAAGUUCUUCAGAAAAUAAGUGGAUAGGAACAUUUUGAUCCCGAUAUUACAAUAUAAAGGUCACAGAUCUGGAUUUUCAGUGUGUUUUUUAAACCUCCCACCUUAGUUACAUUGACAUUGUUUGGUUGUAGUGCCUUUCAAGAGAGUAGAGGCUUUAGAAACAUUUGCGGUGGACGAUAGACGGGCCGGAUUCCUCAUAUUCCUGCUUGGAAAUCCACAUCUGUUGGAAGGUGGAGAGAGAGGCCAGGAUGGAGCCACCGAUCCACACAGAGUAUUUACGCUCAGGAGGGGCGAUGAUCUUAAUCUUAAUCUUCCAACCUGAAUCCACCCUUCCAGUAGAAUCAAGAUCAUCCAGAUUAUUUCAGCCUCAAAACUAUCCUAAUCGCUACCUUUUUGAAUUUUGAAAAACGCAACUACAACAUUUAAUCUUUAUUAAAGUUGAGAUUGUAUUAGCAAAUCCGAAUGUUCCUAAUCUAAUUCUUCAGUUUCGAAAAAUCCAAAUCUAAGAUUUAUCUGAUUUCUUUGAUUGGAUUUUAGCAAUGUUUUUAAAAACUGGGCACGGGGCUGACCACCCACUACUGACCACCCAGUGAGCACAACUGGUUGUGUCUUCCACUGCUCACUGGGCACCAACCAUUGGAUUGGUGGAGGCAUGGCCUAGUGGGGGUUUCCACCAUAUUUCUUAUACCAGUCAUUUCCUUUCAAAUCAGGGAAGUAAACAAGUUCACACUUUGGGAGGAAGGAGAGAUCAUUUUGCAUAUAUAGUGAUGUGGACACCCCUUCAAAUUAGUGGAUUCUACUAUUUCAGCCACAUCCGUGGUGUAUAAAAUAGAGCACACAUCCAUGCAAUCUCCAUAGACAAACAUUGGCAGUAGAAUGGCCUUACUGAAGAGCUCAGUGACUUUCAACAUGGCACUGUCAUAGGAUGCCACCUUUCUAACAAGUCAGUUUAUCACAUUUCUGCCCUGCUAGAGCUGCCCCGGUCAACUCGAAGUGCUGUUAUUGUGAAGUGGAAAUGUCUAGGAGCAACAACGGUUCAGCCACAAAGUGGUAGGCCACACAAGCUCACAGAACAGGACCUUCGAGUGCUGAAGUGCGUAGCGUGUGCAACACUCAUUACCAUGUUCCAAAUGGCUCUGGAAGCAACGUCAGCACAAUAACUGUUCGUCAGGAGCUUCAUGUAAUGGGUUUCCAUGGCCGAGCAGAGGUACACAAGCUUAAGAUCACCAUGCACAAUACCAAGCGUCGGCUGGAGUGGUGUAAAAGUCGCUGCCAUUGGACUCUGGAGCAGUGGAAAUGCAUUCUCUGGAGUGAGGAAUCACGCUUCACCAUCUGUCAGUACGACAGACGAAUCUGGGUUUAGCGGAUGCCAGGAGAACGCUACCUGCCCGAUUGCAUAGUGCCAACUGUAAAGUUUAGUGUAGGAGGAAUAAUGGCCAGGGGCUGUUUUUCAUGGUUCGGGCUAGGCCCCUUUGUUCCAGUUGAGGGAAAUCUUAACGCUACAGCAUACAAUUACAUUCUAGACAAUUCUAUGAUUCCAACUUUGUGGCAACAGUUUGGGGAAGGCCCUUUUCUGUUUCAGCAUGACAAUUCCCCCGUGCACAAAGCAAGGUCCAUACAGAAAUGGUUUGUCGAGAUUGGUGUGGAAUAACUUGACUGGCCUGCAUAGAGCCCUGACCUCAACCCAUCGAACACCUUUGAGAUGAAUUGGAACGCAGACUGCAGACAUCACCUCAACCUCACUAAUGCUUUUGUGGCUGAAUGCUGCAGGGACUUGCUUCCAAUGUUCCAACAUCUAGUGGAAAGACUUCCCAGAAGAGUGGAGGCUGUUAUAGCAGCAAAGGGGGGACCAACUCCAUAUUAAUGCCCAUGAUUUUGGAAUGAGAUGUUUGACGAGCAGGUGUCCACAUACUUUUGGUCAUGUAGUGUAAUUGUAAGAGUAAGAUAAGAGUAAUUCGGAAAUAGCCCUGAAGUAGGCUACUGUCACCAUUUUCUGUGUCAGUGGGAUUGACAAAGCUUCUAAUAGGUUCUAGUUGUUUCUCUGUAGAUAGGGUACUGAGUUUGUGUCUCGGAAUAUACUGUGUGCAAAGAUGAAUGAUCUGCAGCUUUGAUUUGAAUGACCCACUUACACUCACUGGUAAAACAUGGCAACCAGAGGAGGAGAGUGUAUUUAUCUGAUGCUCUUCACCAUUGGUUCAUAAUAGAUCCACCCCUUCCCCUUUAAAAGUCUAUGACUUUUACAGAAGAAGAGAAAGACCCAGAAGAGAGCUCGAGUAAAACUGGUAUCCUGGACAUUUGCUUAAUCAAGAAGACAUGGAAAGGUAAUUUGAAUGACUUUACUAAAAUAUAAUCGUUUUUCAAUUGAUUUUGGAGAUCGGCAACAUUUAGCACUGUUUUUUGUGUACAAAGCACUCAGAAUGGUUCUUGAAGGCAGGUUUAACAGGCAGCAGAUGUCAUACUUUCAGUACAUUGUGUUCUCUUUUUACAGUGUACUAAAGUGGAUGGAGAAGCUGCUGUUUCUGCUGGUUCUGACCUAUGGUUGUUAUGGUGAACCUCAAGUCAGGCAACCACCUAUACCGUACUGGUGGUAGGUAGCCCAGUGGCUAAGGAGUUGGACCUGUGACUGAAAGAAGGCUUGUUUGAAUACUGGGCCAGGUGCUGGAACAAACAGGUGGAAUUGAUCUGACAACUGGAGGGCUGCUGGGUUCACAUCCUUAAAACAUUCCCCUACCUUUGAGCAAUGCCCUUAACCCCACAACAUGCUCUCCAUCCAGGGGCACUGCAGCUUGUCUCAACUCUUUGUGUAAGGUCUGCUGGGGAGGGGGAGGGGCUGUUAAGAACAGAGCAGAAGACACAUUUUUGUUGUUCACUGUAACUAAUGGACAAAGUUAUAUUUUAUUAUACUGUAAAGUCAGCCAGAGUUGACAUGGGCCAUCAUUCAAACAAAGAGAUGCGUCCAUGGCCACCAGUGCAUAUUUUCCAAACUAUG